GACAGAGGGUGCAAGCGUUGUUCGGAAUUACUGGGCGUAAAGGGCGCGUAGGCGGUCCGCUAAGUUCGGCGUGAAAUCCCCUGGCUCAACUGGGGAACGGCGCUGGAUACUGGUGGACUCGAGUACCGGAGAGGAGAGUGGAAUUCCUGGUGUAGCGGUGAAAUGCGUAGAUAUCAGGAGGAACACCGGUGGCGAAGGCGGCUCUCUGGACGGAUACUGACGCUGAGGCGCGAAAGCGUGGGGAUCAAACAGG
rnacentral:rRNA from 1 species